UGACAGUGGUGAUGAUGAUGACUAUACAGUCUCUUCCCUGAAAAAUGACCGUGUGGGUUUUUCAGUCACUACCUCAUCUGAACUGACA